rnacentral:rRNA from 1 species
ACGGGGGGGGCAAGCGUUGUUCGGAAUCAUUGGGCGUAAAGGGUGCGUAGGUGGUGCUGUAAGUCUGACGUGAAAUCUCUGGGCUUAACCCAGAAUCCGCGCCAGGAACUGCAGUGCUCGAGUGUGGGAGAGGAGAGUGGAAUUCCCGGUGUAGCGGUGAAAUGCGUAGAUAUCAGGAGGAACACCUGCGGUGUAGACGGCUUACUGGACCAUAACUGACGCUGAGGCACGAAAGCGUGGGUAGCAAACAGGA